UCUUGGUAUCUGCCCACUUC
rnacentral:piRNA from 1 species